AUCAUGGCUCAGGAUGAACGCUGGCGGCGUGCUUAACACAUGCAAGUCGAACGGACGAUGAAGAGCUUGCUUUUCAGAGUUAGUGGCGGACGGGUGAGUAACGCGUGGGUAACCUGCCUCAUACAGGGGGAUAGCAGCUGGAAACGGCUGGUAAAACCGCAUAAGCGCACAGCAUCGCAUGAUGCAGUGUGAAAAACUCCGGUGGUAUGAGAUGGACCCGCGU
rnacentral:rRNA from 1 species